rnacentral:rRNA from 1 species
UACGAAGGGGGCUAGCGUUGCUCGGAAUCACUGGGCGUAAAGGGUGCGUAGGCGGGUCUUUUAAGUCAGGGGUGAAAUCCUGGAGCUCAACUCCAGAACUGCCUUUGAUACUGAAGAUCUUGAGUUCGGGAGAGGUGAGUGGAACUGCGAGUGUAGAGGUGAAAUUCGUAGAUAUUCGCAAGAACACCAGUGGCGAAGGCGGCUCACUGCCCGAUACUGACGCUGAGGCACGAAAGCGUGGG